rnacentral:rRNA from 1 species
AUUGAACGCUGGCGGCAGGCCUAACACAUGCAAGUCGAGCGAGCGGCGGACGGGUGAGUAAUGUAUGGGGACUGCCCGAUAGAGGGGGAUAACUACUGGAAACGGUAGCUAAUACCGCAUACUAUCGGAUAACCCAUAUGGGAUUAGCUAGUAGGUGAGGUAAUGGCUCACCGAGGCGACGAGCCCUAGCUGGUCGGAGAGGAUGAUAAGCAACACUGUGACUGAGACACGGCCCAGAUUCCUACGGAGGCAGCAGUGGGGAAUAUUGCACAAUGGGCGCAAGCCUGAUGCAGCCAUGCCGCGUGGAUGAAGAAGGCCUUAGGGUUGUAAAGUACUUUCAGUCGGGAGGCGUUACCGACAGAAGAAGCACCGGCUAACUCCGUGCCAGCAGCCGCGGUAAUAC